rnacentral:tRNA from 1 species
UCCCUGGGGGCUCAGAUGGUAAAGAAUCUGCCUGCAAUGCAGGAGACCUGGGUUCGAUCCCCGGGUUGGGAA